GACAGAGGUGGCGAGCGUUGUUCGGAUUUACUGGGCGUAAAGGGCGCGUAGGCGGUUGUAUGUGUCAGAUGUGAAAUCCCAAGGCUUAACCUUGGAAUUGCAUUUGAAACUAUACGACUUGAGGACAGGAGGGGGAAGCGGAAUUCCCGGUGUAGCGGUGAAAUGCGUAGAUAUCGGGAAGAACACCGGUGGCGAAGGCGGCUUCCUGGACUGUUUCUGACGCUGAGGCGCGAAAGCGUGGGUAGCAAACAGG
rnacentral:rRNA from 1 species